UGCAAGCGUUAAUCGGAAUUACUGGGCGUAAAGCGCACGCAGGCGGUCUGUCAAGUCGGAUGUGAAAUCCCCGGGCUCAACCUGGGAACUGCAUUCGAAACUGGCAGGCUAGAGUCUUGUAGAGGGGGGUAGAAUUCCAGGUGUAGCGGUGAAAUGCGUAGAGAUCUGGAGGAAUACCGGUGGCGAAGGCGGCCCCCUGGACAAAGACUGACGCUCAGGUGCGAAAGCGUGGGGAGCAAACAGGAUUAGAUACCCUGGUAGUCCACGCCGUAAACGAUGUCGAUUUGGAGGUUGUGCCCUUGAGGCGUGGCUUCCGGAGCUAACGCGUUAAAUCGACCGCCUGGGGAGUACGGCCGCAAGGUUAAAACUCAAAUGAAUUGACGGGGGCCCGCACAAGCGGUGGAGCAUGUGGUUUAAUUCGAUGCAACGCGAAGAACCUUACCUGGUCUUGACAUCCACAGAACUUUCCAGAGAUGGAUUGGUGCCUUCGGGAACUGUGAGACAGGUGCUGCAUGGCUGUCGUCAGCUCGUGUUGUGAAAUGUUGGGUUAAGUCCCGCAACGAGCGCAACCCGGACCUCAUAAAGUAUGUCGUAGUCCGGAUUGGAGUCUGCAACUCGACUCCAUGAAGUCGGAAUCGCUAGUAAUCGUAGAUCAGAAUGCUA
rnacentral:rRNA from 1 species